CUCUAUGACCACGCCAACCUGAAUGCACCCAACCUCCUCUGUGGGAAGAAGCUAAGCAGAGUCAGGCCUGUUCAGUAUUUGGAUGGAAGUAUAUGCCAUUAGGCUAAAGGGAAAAACUAGCACCAAAUACU
rnacentral:rRNA from 1 species